GACGAACGCUGGCGGCGUGCUUAACACAUGCAAGUCGAACGAAGUGGCGAACGGGUGAGUAAUGCGUAAUCAACCUGCCCUUCAGAGGGGGACAACAGUUGGAAACGACUGCUAAUACCGCAUACUGAAGGAGGGGAUUGCGUUGGUGUAGCUAGUUGGAGGGGUAACGGCCCACCAAGGCGAUGAUCAGUAGCCGGGCUGAGAGGAUGAACGGCCACAUUGGGACUGAGACACGGCCCAGACUCCUACGGGAAGCAGCAGUGGGGAAUCUGCCGCAAUGGGCGAAAGUCUGACGGAGCAAAGCCGCGUGAGUGAUGACGGCCUUCGGGUUGUAAAGCUCUGUUAAUCGGGACGCGGUACCGGAAUAGAAAGCCACGGCUAACUACGUGCCAGCAGCCGCGGUAAUUC
rnacentral:rRNA from 1 species